rnacentral:lncRNA from 1 species
CAUGGAGCUCUGCCUCCGGCCAGUAGACCAGAUCAUCACAAGAAUCCAUGCUCAAAGAUAGGAGAGAAGUAAGGUUCUUCCAAAACGCCAAAGGCUGUGGUGGUGAGAAAAUCCAAUUGCAGUGUCUAAUCUCCAAAUGAUGCAGGGACGAGCUCGGCCCUCUCGUCUCCUCCUCCAGCAAUGGUGCCAGAUCCUCCGAUGCGUUAAUAGAUAAUUUUUCAAGAGAUCUGAAAUACCUGAAUGACAUUUUCUUCUGAUCAGCAACAGGAGGUGACUUUGUACCAUUGCUCGUUUUAUAGACAUGAAUGCAAAGGGAAGAGAGUGUCGUCAGACUACAGAUCAAGCCCAACUGCUUAUUAGUUCCUUUUAUUUUUAAACUUUUGAGAGAUGGUAGCUCUGGCAUGGUCAUCAAAUUUGGGCAAUUAAUGAUCUUAAGCUCAGUAAGGUGAGGAAAAACCAACGUGACCUCUGCAGUUCCUUCAAACUCUGACCACUUCUCCAAGCUNNNNNNNNNNNNNNNNNNNNAUGAAUGCAAAGGGAAGAGAGUGUCGUCAGACUACAGAUCAAGCCCAACUGCUUAUUAGUUCCUUUUCAUUUUUAAACUUUUGAGAGAUGGUAGCUCUGGCAUGGUCAUCAAAUUUGGGCAAUUAAUGAUCUUAAGCUCAGUAAGGUGAGGAAAAACCAACGUGACCUCUGCAGUUCCUUCAAACUCUGACCACUUCUCCAAGCUCUGCAUCAUAUGCAACACAAGUCUUUUCAGUGAG